ensembl:lncRNA
CAGAAAACCGUCUUUACAACANUUAUCGGAGUGACAGCAGGGCUGUGGGUCAGUUGCAUGCCCCCAAGACAGCUUUACUCUCANCUUUUGGCCAGUGAAUGUUUCCCUAGGAGAGGACAUCUUUGUCAGUCAUGUGUUAUUAGAAGCUGCUGGACCAGUUGGAGAUAUCUCUGAAGUUCNCUUGGAAGUCAUUUUGAGUAAACCUGCUUUGGUGUUUAGCGUCUGAAAGGGGCAAGAAGAUGCUGGCAUAUGUUAUUGUCACCAUUCUGUUCUUUUUUUGCACUGCCAAAUCCCAGGAGGAUAUAGAAUUAGAAGUAAAGCCAAUCGACAUUGUGGUAGCUCCUGGAGAUACAGUAAACAUAACCUGCACACUUNGCAGUAAACAUUUUGCGAGCACUGUGGCCUGGUAUAAAGAAGAAUAUGACCACAGCCUACAGCAACUUAACCUGACCUAUUUAUCCCGAAAACCAGGAGAAAGAACUCUACCUGAAGUAAAUUACACAAUUCACAAUGUGACGAGAAGUGCUUCUGGGCUAUAUUUUUGUGUCAUAACAAUUUUAGAAAAGUUAGUAAUGCUAAACUGGACGAGGCUGAUUGUCCAAGGAUCAUCCAAGCCAACUCUCUCCAUCCUGGUACCUUCAGCCUUGGAGGAGGUUCAGCCCAACCACAAUAUCCCUGUUGUCUGCCUUGUCUCUGAUGCAUACCCUCAGCGUGAUACCAUCUCCUGGUUUGCCAGUGGAAAUACUAAUUUGGUCUUGAAGGAAGGUGAAAUAAUAGAUGAGAAGGGAAUCUAUAGUAUUUGGAGUUUACAGCUGAUUCCUCGGGAGAGUUGGAACAAAGACAUGACAAAUGUCUGCUUGCACCUCCAAGAAAAUGGAACCGUCAUUGCUAAUGCUUCCGUAAAUACAGUGCCCAUAACUGCAGGAAACUGCGCUGAACAUUUGUAUUAUGGGAUACCCUGUAUUAUCGUCCUUCUCUUCAUUAUACCCUUGGUCUUCUACUUCAGAAAGCAUCUUGCAAAAGGAGACACAGACACAGCAGCGAAUCACACGGUUGCGCCGGAGACCCCACAGGUACCCUUGCUGAUGGAAAUGGUCCAAGACCAUCUCCAGAAUGAAUAUCAACGUCAGCUAACAAGGAGAGGGAAAUGAGACAGAAAUUAAACAGCCUCUUCAUCUUCUUUUACAGAGUAAUUACGCAGAACUCUGUACCUACAAGUGAAAAAUAUUCUGAUUGNUUGGAUGCAGUGGUAAAAGCACGCGCCGGUUUGAGAAGGAGGGACAACANAAAGACUCGAAGCCAUAACGCAUCUCUUAUCCUGACCACCACCGACGCUUGU